CCUACUUUCCUCUGGAAAUGGCCGCGCCGGGGAGCACCGAACGCCCCGCGCCCCGAGGCCCGUCGGCGUAGGGCGGCCGCGGGGCUGUGGCCCCCCAGGAACGCCGGAGGCAGGAUGGACGAACAGAAGGUGCCUAGCGAGGAGAAGGACACAGCCGCGCCAGCUGAUGGGGUCAUGGCCUCGGAGGAGAUGGGCAGCGCCGAGGGGGACCCCCUGAAACCCCCCGAAGGAGCCUCUGCGGGGCCAGAGCCAGACAACACGGGCACGGAGGGACCUCCCGAGGCUGGCAGGUGAGGGUGGGAGGACUCGGGGGGUGGCGUGGAGCUAUCGAAGGGGUCCUAAAUAUCCCUGACACCCCCCCGUUUGUCUUCU
rnacentral:lncRNA from 1 species